rnacentral:rRNA from 1 species
CCUACGGGUGGCAGCAGUGAGGAAUAUUGGUCAAUGGGCGUAAGCCUGAACCAGCCAAGUCGCGUGAGGGAUGAAGGUUCUAUGGAUCGUAAACCUCUUUUAUAAGGGAGUAAAGUGUGGGACGUGUCCUAUUUUGUAUGUACCUUAUGAAUAAGGAUCGGCUAACGCCGUACCAGCAGCCGCGGUAAUACGGAGGAUCCGAGCGUUAUCCGGAUUUAUUGGGUUUAAAGGGGGCGUAGGCGGCCUUUUAAGUCAGCGGUGAAAGUCUGUGGCUCAACCACAGAAUUGCCGUUGAAACUGGGGGGCUUGAGUAUGUUUGAGGGAGGCGGAAUGCGUGGUGUAGCGGUGAAAUGCUUAGAUAUCACGCAGAACACCGAUUGCGAAGGCAGCCUGCCAAGCCAUGACUGACGCUGAUGCACGAAAGCGUGGGGAUCAAACAGGAUUAGAUACCCUUGUAGUC